CAGAUGGUUGCUAGAUUGGCUGUUUCAAGACAUUUUCCCCAUUGAUUUUUACAGGUCUUCCUGCCAGAGAGAAUUAGUCAGAGCGGGGGUUGGAUGGAGGGGAGGAGGCUACUCUACCCAUGCAGCGGGUCAGAUGCUGGGGGACAAGACAGAGUCCUGCCUCCUCCUCAUUGGCCAGAGAGCUCUACCGAGGGACAGAGGAUGCUGGAAAGAAGAAGCAGGUGACAUCAUGUGAAUCUGCCGCUGCUUGGAUAGUCAUGGCAACUGAUCUGUAUUUGUAUAAACACACGGGGCUGACUCUCCUCCCCUGCGGUCCCUCGUGCCACCGGGAUUCUCACAGAUCCUAGCAGCUACAGGGUUGUACCAUUACUGCUCCAUGCUGCUUCACACACUCACAGGGGAGAGCCUGGCGCCGCUUCUGUCUGUACAGCCGGUCUAACUCCCAGAGCAACCCCUACCAGCCGACCCCGGGGCGCUCUUCACCCAACACCCUUCUUCGACGACGUCCCCCCAGACUCCAGCACUUACAUCACAGCCCUCCACCCUCUCAUCUGUGACCUGUGAUCACACUCGACUUUCUGACGUCCUUUUAAGUGUUCUUGCACAAGCCGGCGCUUACGGCUUAAAGCUCACAACGCAGUAGAGUCGCUCGCAGCAUAACAGAAAUGUUAGUGAGAUGAAAUCGGAAGGCAAACACAGACUCAUUUUUAGUUAUGAUGAAUCCUGCUUUCUCAGUUGUGACAACACAAGCUUACCAUGAUAAGACGAUAGUUGUAUUUCAUGCACCGCACAAGUGUUUUACAAGCGUAUUAAUUUGUCAUCACCAAUUUCAGAUAAGAUACCAGACUUUCUUUUGGUUAUAGAUCAAACCCCAGUUGGCAAAGCAGCGGUCGCCGACAUGGCAGGGAAUCAGAGGAGAAGUAAGAGGUUGCAGCAUGAGAUCAUAGGAGUCACACUGAGGCGCGUGCACUAAAAUGACCCUGACCUCGGGGUCCUGACCUGAACGUCUUUGCUCUUGCAUGAGAGAAAACCUUUUAUGUGGCUUUGGAUGGAAGAAGCAAGAGGAGGAGAUGAGAAAUGAAGAGCACAGCGCCGUCCUUCACCAUUAUUAUUGGGUUUUUGGAGGGGGCUCCAGUAUGGCACACAAAAAGGUCCUCUUUGAAAAGAAGGUUUUUCAGAUUUGGACCCCUUGAGAACAGAAUGAUUAAUUUAGCACAAGGAAUAAUGCUUUGGAUGAUAAAGGGAAUACAUUUAUCUUUGCCCUUUCAUCCAGACGUCUCUGACUGUGUGCGGGAGAGCCGAGGAAACCUUGAGGUAUUGUGUAAAUUCAGUCACAAUUAAAAAAAACGGAGUGCAUGUCUUCAAGAAAACUUGUGUUUUUCAUUACCUGAAUUGUUAGCCCAUGUAUGCCUUGUAUGCCUGCUCAACAUCACUGUCUUAUUUUCUUUUACUAGGCAAAUGGAAUUGUACAAAUACAGUCUGGAAUUCCUCCAAAUGAAUCCAAAACCGUGAGAAUGCGCUGGGGCAUCUCUGGUUUAGCAUGGAUGCAGUGAGAGGGAUUCAGUGUAGCUCUGUUGAUGUGGUACACUGGGGUGUAAUCUCAUUAGUAUGCUAUAAGACUGACCCUGCACUGCUCGCCAUGUUCACAGCAUUAUGAGGGAGAGGAGAGUGGGCCGCACAGCCUGGUUUCACAUCCAUCCAUUUGACACAUUUAGAACUCCCUCACACUGUCCCUUCAAACACUCUCCUCCUUUUACCUUUUAUAUCAUGUCCACAUGUUCAAACUGUUAGACUGCUCAUCUAGUAGUUUUUUGCAUCUAAUUUCACUUUUAUCUCUCCCUCUUUUAUCCCUCCCUGUAUCACUAUACUUCCUCCAUUUUUGUCACUGAAAGCGUGUCUAUGAAAGCUUGUUGUCUGUCUCUCUGUCUAUCUAUCACCUCUCUUCUUUCUCGCGCUUUCUAUCUCACACCUUUUAUCCUGAUCAGUCUCUCUGACUCAAUGUUAGUGUGAGAGAAUCAAGAUAAAAAUGCCCAGUAACACAUUGAGGGCGAAUUGCCUCCCUAUACAUGUUGGCUUUACCAUGUGGAAGUUGCCGCCUUCUCCAUCGCAUCACCCAUGUGUCUUAUCUCUGCUCUGCCGUGUGUAAAUAUUUAAAGAAGGCUCCAGGAGCAGCGCUGGUAGCAUCUCUGCAGAGCGCAUUUCCCAACUGCCCACACUAUCCAUAGGCGAUAUGAUGGAAAGGCCCAGUGUGCAAAUUAUAGAAUCACUUUGAAGGGUGGUCUACUUUUUAAAGGAAAUCUUAUAUAAUAUUUUCCAUAGGUUUGCUUAAAUUGUCUUUGGCAUUCCUAGCACAUAAUCUAACAAUCUUGUACAAAUUCUGUUAUCAUUUACUCAAGCUCGUGAAGUUCCAAUCAGCAUGACUGUCCAGUCAGUGGGCUCAAAAACCAUUGGAUCCCAUUGACUUUCACUGUACAGGCAAAAAAAAACAGAAACAUGCUUCAAAAUUUCUUCUUUUAGGUUCCUUAGAAUAAAGUAUGUCAUACAGGUUUGAAACAUCGUGAGGGUGAGUAUGACAACACAAUUUUCAUUUCUGGGUGAAAUCUCUAUUUAAAGGUGUUUUAUCACAGAUUGGUCUGAUAAUAAUUCUAAGUAGAAGGUGCUCAAGCAGUCUGCUGUUGCUAUGGUUACCUCAGGCGAAGUCAAAAUCUUCAACUUUUGUGUUUGUUGAAAAGUUAGAAAACCAUUUUUAAGCAUGUAUUUAUAUAAGACCCUCCUCCCACCUUUUUGUUUUUACUGCCUUUGGUGCAUGCUUUAAUUAGCAGAGUCAGAGCUCAUAAUUUGCGCCCUUGGAGAACCCUGGUCUUAUCAUCAUCAUGUGUUGUGGGCAGGAUAAAUGAGGUGGGAUUUAGGGUGUUCAUAACCACGUCCGCCUUCACUUCUGUGCCGUUAGUGAUGAGGACUGCGCUGAGCCUCAAGAUAUGAGGCCUGACUCUUGCCUCGAAUACACACAUAAACAUUCUUUAAAGCAAUAUAGUGCUCUUUCAGCCUGCAGCCACUGAUAUUACACCCCAGCCCCCUUGUGCUUGUAUGAUUUUAUUAAUAAUAGAGAAGAGGCAAUAUAUCCUUUUUCUGUGGAAGGUAUAUGAGGUUAACCAUAUUCUCUUGCUAAUUCCACGUUGAGAUUUUAAUAAAGAAAAGAUGCAUAAGCCAGUGUCAUAGAGGCACUGCAGUGCAAAUAGUACACAGGGAGGCACGCAAGUGAUAAUAAUGGUGGCUGUUACGACUGGUAUUUACAUAGAAUUAAAAUGAAUGGCUCACGUCCUGGGAAUGUGCAAGCAUUAAAUGUAUGCUCACCACUUUGUGUUAGUGAACCUCUUAAAAUGCUCCUCAGAGAUGCAUUUGUGCUUGAAUAUUUUGAAUUGUCUUAUGUAAGUU